GAUGAACGCUGGCGGCGUGCCUAAUACAUGCAAGUCGAGCGAACGGACGAGAAGCUUGCUUCUCUGAUGUUAGCGGCGGACGGGUGAGUAACACGUGGAUAACCUACCUAUAAGACUGGGAUAACUUCGGGAAACCGGAGCUAAUACCGGAUAAUAUUUUGAACCGCAUGGUUCAAAAGUGAAAGACGGUCUUGCUGUCACUUAUAGAUGGAUCCGUGCUGCAUUAGCUAGUUGGUAAGGUAACGGCUUACCAAGGCAACGAUGCAUAGCCGACCUGAGAGGAUGAUCGGCCACACUGGAACUGAGACACGGUCCAGACUCCUACGGGAGGCAGCAGUAGGGAAUCUUCCGCAAUGGGCGAAAGCCUGACGGAGCAACGCCGCGUGAGUGAUGAAGGUCUUCGGAUCGUAAAGCUCUGUUAUUAGGGAAGAACAUAUGUGUAAGUAACUGUGCACAUCUUGACGGUACCUAAUCAGAAAGCCACGGCUAACUACGUG
rnacentral:rRNA from 1 species